rnacentral:rRNA from 1 species
AACGUAGGAGACAAACGUUAUCCGGAGUUACUGGGCGUAAAGGGCGUGUAGGCGGUCCGGUAAGUCCGCUGUGAAAGUCGGGGGCUCAACCCUCGAAUGCCGGUGGAUACUGUCGGGCUAGAGUGCGGAAGAGGCGAGUGGAAUUCCUGGUGUAGCGGUGAAAUGCGCAGAUAUCAGGAGGAACACCUAUUGCGAAGGCAGCUCGCUGGGACGUUACUGACGCUGAGACGCGAAAGCGUGGGGAGCAAACAGG